AUCAGACACGGUGUAAGCCGCCGCGGUAAUACGGAAGGUGCAAGCGUUAUCCGGUUUUAUUGGGUUUAAAGGGUGCGUAGGCGGUUUAUUAAGUCAGUUGUGAAAUCCUAGUGCUUAACGCUAGAACUGCAAUUGAUACUGGUAGACUUGAGUUAAGAAGAGGUAAGUAGAAUUUAUGGUGUAGUAGUGAAAUGCUUAGAUAUCAUAAGGAAUACCAAUAGCGUAGGCAGCUUACUGGUCUUUAACUGACGCUGAGGCACGAAAGCGUGGGGGAGCAAACAGGAUUAGAUACCCUGGUAGUCCACGCCGUAAACGAUGAUCACUAGAUAUGCACGAUAUAUCGUGUGUGUUCAAGCGAAAGCGUUAAGUGAU
rnacentral:rRNA from 1 species